rnacentral:rRNA from 1 species
UACGUAGGGCGCAAGCGUUGUCCGGAAUCAUUGGGCGUAAAGAGCGCGUAGGCGGUCCGGUAAGUCCGCUCUGAAAGUCCGGGGCUCAACCCCGGGAGGCGGGCGGAUACUGUCGGGCUAGAGUCCGGAAGAGGCGAGUGGAAUUCCUGGUGUAGCGGUGAAAUGCGCAGAUAUCAGGAGGAACACCAAUGGCGAAGGCAGCUCGCUGGGACGGUACUGACGCUGAGGCGCGAAAGCGUGGGGAUCAAACAGG